UUUUUUAAAAAAAAUAAAGAUUUUGUAUGUGUUUGUUGCAGAUUAAGUUUAUUUAGAAAGCAUCCAAAGUAGUAGAAAUGAGCCAGCGGGGCUGCCUGGGCUCAGGAAACAAGUUGCAGAAGCAAAAGAAGGGCCCUUGGAGCUCAGGAGGAAGAAAGGCCAAGGUAACUGCCUGGUGGGAGAGGGAGCAAGGACAGGCUCAGGCAUGCUCCCAAGAGGAGAGCGCUGGUAGGAAGGUUUUAGAUAAUCAUAAAUGGAAUCAUUAAUUUGAGUGCUAAUAACAAGAAUGAAAAUUAUAACUAAACAGGCCAAAAUAAUAUUCCAGCUGGUUUGUUAUCAUAACCUAUUAUUAAAGUAAAAUUCUAUUGAAAUACUGUAACUUAAAGGUACAUUUUUGUUUUUUUUAAAAAAUAUAUUAGUAACUAGGAAUGGAGAAUUUGGAUGUGUGAGUGGGGGAGAUUUAUUUUUAUAAGGUAAUUUUUAUCCUGACAAGGAUUAUUUUUUAAAAAGUUUUUUGCUCUUUAAAUUUUAAAGCAAACAUGUUAAAUAAGCAUUAUAUUAGAUUGUAGGGGGUUUGGUAUAUAUUUUAUUUUCCUCUUAGUGAUGUAAAAUAGGAAGGAUAUAUUGAAUUAUGAAAACUGGAAUAAUGACACCAAAUGCCUUUACUGGAGAUAGUAUGUUUGUAAGUCUGCACCGGAACCAGGCAUAUAACCUUCCUUUGGACUUGAAUUAUAACUCUGAAAAAGGCCAAAUAAUCAUAAUCUUACUACAAAAUACCAGUGACUAAAUUUCUAACUGAAGGUUUUUUAGUUGUCAAACAGACAAGCAGCAUAAGCCAGAAAAGAUUUUUAACUUCAGUUUUAAUAAACUUAUUUUAAGAAGUUCUCUUCCCCUGCCACAUUCUCCAUCCCUAAAAUAAUAAGAUAAUACUUGGAGUGAAACAGCUGCUAUCUUUUAAUUCAAAUCAGUUGUGAAAUUACUGUUUGAAUUCUGAUGCUGCCAUGAUUUCUCAAAAAUUAGUGUGAACAAAUCAAUCUUUAUAAAAUGCUACCUUUUGUCUCCUUGCAAUUUUAUACACAAAUUAAGACAAUAACAGGGUGAUAAUGAGUUAACUCAAAUUCUGAGUCUUGUCACUUCACUAAAAAAGUAUACUGCCUUUUUUUUUUCAAUUAUUCAAGGCCAAUGACUUUUAGGAAUAUGUUUUAUACCACAUAUAUCUUUUUUAAUUAAAGCAAGUGCCUUGAUGCUAUUACGCAUAAAUCAUGCUUAACCCUGUAUGGCAGUGGGGGGAAUGUCCGGCCGAAGGGCCAUAUAAGGCCUGCGAAGUCAUUUGGUCUGGCCCUGCCAAGGCAUUAGGGGUGAGUUAAUUAAAUAUGGCAGGCUAAUUUUUAAGUUGGUAAUUUUGUAGCGCCUGCAAAUGAUGUUAUAAAUAUCCAAAUGGCCCUUGGUAGAAUAAAGCUUCCCCGCCUCUACUCUGUGGAAUGAGAAUGAGUUAUUGAUGAUUGCAGCCUAUUGUAGGAGAGGGGGAGUUGGUUAAUAGCAGAUUCUUUUUCUCUGGAAGGAUAUGUUCAUGAUGUUUACUACAUAAGAUCCUAUAUGUGUUAUUUCAUUUGCUAAUACAUUGUUAUGCUAAUAAAAAAAUAAA